rnacentral:rRNA from 1 species
GACGUAGGGGGCGAGCGUUGUCCGGAUUUAUUGGGCGUAAAGCGUGCGUAGGCGGCUGCGCAAGUCGGGUGUGAAACCCCGGGGCUCAACCCCGGAACUGCAUCCGAUACUGCGUGGCUAGAGGUAGGUAGGGGAGAUCGGAAUUCCUGGUGUAGCGGUGAAAUGCGCAGAUAUCAGGAGGAACACCGGUGGCGAAGGCGGCAUCCUGGACCGAUACUGACGCUGAGGAGCGAAAGCCAGGGGAGCAAACGGG